rnacentral:rRNA from 1 species
AUUGAACGCUAGCGGGAUGCUUUACACAUGCAAGUCGAACGAGUGGCGGACGGGUGAGUAAUAUAUCGGAACGUGCCCAGUAGCGGGGGAUAACUACUCGAAAGAGUGGCUAAUACAGCCUACUAUUGGAGCGGCCGAUAUGGGAUUAGCUAGUUGGUGGGGUAAAGGAUCAACAAGGCAACGAUCCGUAGGUGGUUUGAGAGGACGAACAUGCACACGGGGACAUAGACACGGCCCAGAGUCCUACGGGAGGCAGCAGUGUGGAAGUGUAGACAAUGGGUGAAACCCUGAUCCAGCCAUCCCGCGUGUAUGAGAAGGCCUUCGGGUUUUAAAGUACUUUUGGCAGAGAAGCGGUAUCUGCAGAAUAAGCACCGGCUAACUACGUGCCAGCAGCCGCGGUAAUUC